AUUGAACGCUGGCGGCAGGCCUAACACGUGCAAGUCGAGCGGAUGAAGGGAGCUUGCUCCUGGAUUCAGCGGCGGACGGGUGAGUAAUGCCUAGGAAUCUGCCUGGUAGUGGGGGAUAACGUCCGGAAACGGGCGCUAAUACCGCAUACGUCCUGAGGGAGAAAGUGGGGGAUCUUCGGACCUCACGCUAUCAGAUGAGCCUAGGUCGGAUUAACUAGUUGGUGGGGUAAAGGCCUACCAAGGCGACGAUCCGUAACUGGUCUGGGAGGAUGAUCAGUCACACUGGAACUGAGACACGGUCCAGACUCCUACGGGAGGCAGCAGUGGGGAAUAUUGGACAAUGGGCGAAAGCCUGAUCCAGCCAUGCCGCGUGUGUGAAGAAGGUCUUCGGAUUGUAAAGCACUUUAAGUUGGGAGGAAGGGCAGUAAGUUAAUACCUUGCUGUUUUGACGUUACCAACAGAAUAAGCACCGGCUAACUUCGUG
rnacentral:rRNA from 1 species